rnacentral:rRNA from 1 species
UACGAAGGGUGCAAGCGUUACUCGGAAUUACUGGGCGUAAAGGGUGCGUAGGUGGUUCUUUAAGUCUGCUGUGAAAGCCCCGGGCUCAACCUGGGAAUGGCAGUGGAUACUGGAGAGCUAGAGUGCGGUAGAGGGUAGUGGAAUUCCCGGUGUAGCAGUGAAAUGCGUAGAGGUCGGGAGGAACACCAGUGGCGAAGGCGGCUACCUGGACCAGCACUGACACUGAAGCACGAAAGCGUGGGGAGCAAACAGG